CAGUAGCCACGGUAAUACGUAGGUGGCAAGCGUUGUCCGGAAUUAUUGGGCGUAAAGGGCUCGCAGGCGGUUUCUUAAGUCUGAUGUGAAAGCCCCCGGCUCAACCGGGGAGGGUCAUUGGAAACUGGGAAACUUGAGUGCAGAAGAGGAGAGUGGAAUUCCACGUGUAGCGGUGAAAUGCGUAGAGAUGUGGAGGAACACCAGUGGCGAAGGCGACUCUCUGGUCUGUAACUGACGCUGAGGAGCGAAAGCGUGGGGAGCGAAUAGGAUUAGAUACCCCCGUAGUCCCUGUCUCUUAUAC
rnacentral:rRNA from 1 species